GACUCUGUACGGACACAAAAGAGGCCACGUCACG
rnacentral:sRNA from 1 species